UACAUGGGGUGCAAACGUUGCUCGGAAUUAUUGGGCGUAAAGCGCGCGUAGGCGGUUACUUAAGUCGGAUGUGAAAGCCCCCGGCUCAACUGGGGAGGGUCACGCGAUACUGAUCGACUCGAAGGCAGGAGAGGGAAGUGGAAUUCCCGGUGUAGUGGUGAAAUGCGUAGAUAUCGGGAGGAACACCAGUGGCGAAGGCGACUUCCUGGCCUGUUCUUGACGCUGAGGCGCGAAAGCUAGGGGAGCAAACGGG
rnacentral:rRNA from 1 species